rnacentral:rRNA from 1 species
AGAGUUUGAUCAUGGCUCAGGAUGAACGCUAGCGACAGGCUUAACACAUGCAAGUCGAGGGGCAGCACGGUGUAGCGAUACACUGGUGGCGACCGGCGCACGGGUGAGUAACACGUGUGCAACCAACCCCGUACCGGGAGAUAACCCGCGGAAACGUGGACUAACAUCCCAUGAUACUCGAGAGCCGCAUGGCUCUAGAUUUAAAAUUCCGGUGGUACGGGACGGGCACGCGCGACAUUAGGUAGUUGGCGGGGUAAGGGCCCACCAAGCCGACGAUGUCUAGGGGUUCUGAGAGGAAGGUCCCCCACACUGGAACUGAGACACGGUCCAGACUCCUACGGGAGGCAACA